rnacentral:rRNA from 1 species
CCUUGUACACACCGCCCGUCACGGCAUGGGAGUUGGUUUUACCCGAAGACGGCGCGCUAACCGCAAGGAGGCAGCCGGCCACGGUAGGAUCAGCAACUGGGCCG